AACUCCUAGCGGUGGAUCACUAGGCUCGAAGAUCGAUGAAGAACGCAGUUAGCUGCGAUAAUUAGUGUGAAUUGCGGACACAUUGAACACAAAAAAUUCGAACGCACAUUGCGCCAUCGGGUCCUCUCCCGUUGGUACGUCUGGUUGAGGGUUGAAA
rnacentral:rRNA from 2 species